rnacentral:rRNA from 1 species
UACGAAGGGGGCUAGCGUUGUUCGGAAUCACUGGGCGUAAAGCGCACGCAGGCGGAUCGUUAAGUCAGGGGUGAAAUCCCGAGGCUCAACCUCGGAACUGCCUUUGAUACUGGCGAUCUUUGAGUCCGGGAGAGGUGAGUGGAACUCCGAGUGUAGAGGUGAAAUGUGUUGAUAUUGGAAGGAACACCGGAGGCGAAAGCGGUGUACUGGGGCUGGUCUGACGCUGAGGCACGAAAGCCAGGGGAGCGAACGGG